CAACCUCAACUCAUAUGGGACUACCCCCUGAAUUUAAGCAUAUUAAUUAGGGGAGGAAAAGAAACUAACAAGGAUUUUCUUAGUAGCGGCGAGCGAAAAGAAAUCAGUUCAGCACUAAGUCACUUUGUCUAUAUGGCAAAUGUGAGAUGCAGUGUACGGAACAUCAACAUUCUAGUAUGAGAAGUUAACGAUUUAAGUCCUUCUUAAAUGAGGCCAUUUACCCAUAGAGGGUGCCAGGCCCGUAUAACGUUAAUGAUUACUAGAUGGUGUUUCCAAAGAGUCGUGUUGCUUGAUAGUGCAGCACUAAGUGGGUGGUAAACUCCAUCUAAAACUAAAUAUAACCAUGAGACCGAUAGUAAACAAGUACCGUGAGGGAAAGUUGAAAAGAACUCUGAAUAGAGAGUUAAAUAGUACGUGAAACUGCUUAGAGGUUAAGCCCGAUGAAC
rnacentral:ncRNA from 1 species